CGAAGGGUGCAAGCGUUACUCGGAAUUACUGGGCGUAAAGGGUGCGUAGGUGGUUUUUUAAGUCUGCUGUGAAAUCCCCGGGCUCAACCUGGGAAUGGCGAUGGAUACUGGCGAGCUAGAGUGUGUCAGAGGAUGGUGGAAUUCCCGGUGUAGCGGUGAAAUGCGUAGAGAUCGGGAGGAACACCUGUGGCGAAAGCGGCGCACUGGACCAUAACUGACGCUGAGGCGCGAAAGCUAGGGGAGCAAACAGGA
rnacentral:rRNA from 1 species